GACGAACUGUCCUAACGUUGUUCGGAUUUACUGGGCGUAAAGGGCGCGUAGGCGGCGUGACAAGUCACUUGUGAAAUCUCCGGGCUUAACUCGGAACGGUCAAGUGAUACUGUCGUGCUAGAGUACAGAAGGGGCAACUGGAAUUCUCGGUGUAGCGGUGAAAUGCGUAGAUAUCGAGAGGAACACCUGCGGCGAAGGCGGGUUGCUGGGCUGAUACUGACGCUGAGGCGCGAAAGCUAGGGGAGCGAACGGG
rnacentral:rRNA from 1 species